rnacentral:rRNA from 1 species
CCCUCAGAUGUCCUGGGCCGCACGCGCGCUACAAUGAAAGGUUCAACGAGUAUACUUGGUAUUUCGCUCUUUUGGGUGAGUCCAAUUCCUUGGUCGAGAGGCCUGGGUAAUCUUUUGAAAACCUUUCGUGAUGGGGAUAGAUUAUUGCAAUUAUUAAUCUUGAACGAGGAAUUUCUAGUAAACGCAAUUCAUCACAUUGCAUUGAUUACGUCCCUGCCCUUUGUACACACCGCCCGUCGCAUUCUUUGACGAAUGGCCCGGUGAGAUCUUCGGAUUCUUUGUUGUUGAUGUUCGCAUCGACUUUAGAGGAAAAGUUGCUCAAAUCUUGCCAUUUGGAGAAAAAUGAAGUCGUAACA